CCUACGGGAGGCAGCAGUAGGGAAUAUUGCUCAAUGGGGGAAACCCUGAUGCAGCUAUUCCGCGUGGAGGAUGAAGGCUUUAGGAUUGUAAACUCCUUUUGUGAGAGACGAUAAUGACGGUAUCUCACGAAUAAGCACCUGCUAACUCCGUACCAGCAGCCGCGGUAAUACGGAGGGUGAGAGCGUUAAUCGGAAUGAAUGGGCGUAAAGAGUGCGCAGGCGGGUUGGUAAGUCAGAUGUGAAAUCCUGUGGCUUAACUACAUAACUGCAUUUGAGACUUUGAGUCUAGAGUGUGGGAGAGGUAGGUGGAAUUCUUGGUGUAGGAGUAAAAUCCGUAGAUAUCAAGAGGAAUACUCAUGGCGAAGGCGACCUACUGGAACAUUACUGACGCUCAUGCACGAAAGCGUGGGGAGCAAAUAGGAUUAGAUACCCUAGUAGUC
rnacentral:rRNA from 1 species